rnacentral:rRNA from 1 species
UUGUAUAAUGGGUCAGCGACUUAUAUUCUGUAGCAAGGUUAACCGAAUAGGGGAGCCGGAGGGAAACCGAGUCUUAACCGGGCGUUAAGUUGCAGGGUAUAGACCCGAAACCCGGUGAUCUAGCCAUGGGCAGGUUGAAGGUUGGGUAACACUAACUGGAGGACCGAACCGACUAAUGUUGAAAAAUUAGCGGAUGACCUGUGGCUGGGGGUGAAAGGCCAAUCAAACCGGGAGAUAGCUGGUUCUCCCCGAAAGCUAUUUAGGUAGCGCCUCGUGAAUUCAUCUCCGGGGGUAGAGCACUGUUUCGGCUAGGGGGCCAUCCCGGCUUACCAACCCGAUGCAAACUGCGAAUACCGGAGAAUGUUAUCACGGGAGACACACGGCGGGUGCUAACGUCCGUCGUGAAGAGGGAAACAACCCAGACCGCCAGCUAAGGUCCCAAAGUCAUGGUUAAGUGGGAAACGAUGUGGGAAGGCCCAGACAGCCAGGAUGUUGGCUUAGAAGCAGCCAUCAUUUAAAGAAAGCGUAAUAGCUCACUGGUCGAGUCGGCCUGCGCG